GGGGUGCUCGAGUGGCGAACGGGUGAGUAACACGUGAGUAACCUGCCCUUGACUUUGGGAUAACUUCAGGAAACUGGGGCUAAUACCGGAUAGGAGCCCCUGCUGCAUGGUGGGGGUUGGAAAGUUUCGGCGGUUGGGGAUGGACUCGCGGCUUAUCAGCUUGUUGGUGGGGUAGUGGCUUACCAAGGCUUUGACGGGUAGCCGGCCUGAGAGGGUGACCGGCCACAUUGGGACUGAGAUACGGCCCAG
rnacentral:rRNA from 1 species